AAGCUGAGAAAAGUCAUGGUGCCUCCGUGUAGUGAGAAGGUUCAAACAACGGAUUCUAAUCUGCACCGGAAAAUUCUGCUCUGAUUUUUUAGCAGAGAUACUCUGCUUUCUUACUGCAAUCUCCCUGCCACUUCAACAUGACUGGAAGCAAGAAAAGGUAGCAACGAUGGUGAGAGCAACUGUGCUUCUGGAGGAGGAUCUCACAAGUGUACCUGCACUUCAACUAAUUAUUGACACUCUUAUGGUAUGUUGGAUCUCUUGUUGCAUUCAAUGUUAGUGGAAUGCGAUGGAUGAGAAACAGGGAAGAUAUAUGUAUGUAGGUGUUGUUACUUAUCAUGAACUUGUAUGACUUAGAAAUUCAUGUAAUUUGUGUUAAAUUGUACUGCCAUGUGCAGUGUGCUGGAUGCAAAUUACAGUGGCGAUCUCAUGUAUUUGUGGCACAUUUAUUACCCUCUUUUGGGCAAGUCUGUAUAUGUCAAUUAUCAUUUGUUGGAACAUGUUUUAGUGGAUUGUUACAAUCUUAUUUAUAGAUUGAUUCUGGAUGAGUGUA